rnacentral:rRNA from 1 species
CAGUAGCCACGGUAAUACGAAGGGUGCAAGUGUUACUCGGAAUUACUGGGCGUAAAGCGUGCGUAGGUGGUGGUUUAAGUCCGUUGUGAAAGCCCUGGGCUCAACCUGGGAAUUGCAGUGGAUACUGGGUCACUAGAGUGUGGUAGAGGAUAGUGGAAUUUCCGGUGUAGCAGUGAAAUGCGUAGAGAUCGGAAGGAACAUCUGUGGCGAAGGCGACUAUCUGGGCCAACACUGACACUGAGGCACGAAAGCGUGGGGAGCAAACAGGAUUAGAUACCCGGGUAGUCCCUGUCUCUUAUAA